UACGAAGGGGGCUAGCGUUGUUCGGAUUUACUGGGCGUAAAGCGCACGUAGGCGGAUCGAUCAGUCAGGGGUGAAAUCCCAGAGCUCAACUCUGGAACUGCCUUUGAUACUGUCGAUCUGGAGUAUGGAAGAGGUGAGUGGAAUUCCGAGUGUAGAGGUGAAAUUCGUAGAUAUUCGGAGGAACACCAGUGGCGAAGGCGGCUCACUGGUCCAUUACUGACGCGGAGGUGCGAAAGCGUGGGAGCAAACAGG
rnacentral:rRNA from 1 species